AGUGAACGCUGGCGGUAGGCCUAACACAUGCAAGUCGAACGGCAGCGCAGUAAGAGCUUGCUCUUACGGGUGGCGAGUGGCGGACGGGUGAGGAAUACAUCGGAAUCUACUUUUUCGUGGGGGAUAACGUAGGGAAACUUACGCUAAUACCGCAUACGACCUACGGGUGAAAGCAGGGGAUCUUCGGACCUUGCGCGAUUGAAUGAGCCGAUGUCGGAUUAGCUAGUUGGCGGGGUAAAGGCCCACCAAGGCGACGAUCCGUAGCUGGUCUGAGAGGAUGAACAGCCACAAGUGAACUGAGACACGGUCCAGACUCCUACGGGAGGCAGCAGUUGGGAAUAUUGGACAAUGGGCGCAAGCCUGAUCCAGCCAUACCGCGUGGGUGAAGAAGGCCUUCGGGUUGUAAAGCCCUUUUGUUGGGAAAGAAAAGCAGCAGGUUAAUACCCCGCUGUUCUGACGGUACCCAAAGAAUAAGCACCGGCUAACUUCGUG
rnacentral:rRNA from 1 species